CAGCCUCGGCCCCCCCGCAUCCCCUCGUCCCGCGGGGGGCGGUGUCGCCACGUUCCCGCAGCCUGGCCCUGCUGCCCCCGGCCCCGCGCGUCUGCUCCCGGGUAGCAGCGGCAGGGCCGGAGGGAACGGCCUGAGGUUGCGCCGGGGCACGUUCAGAUUCCUUCUGGAAGCCAGUCCGGUAAUUACCGUAUAGCUUGGUUGAACCUGGUGUUGUCAGCACCAAGAUGACGAGGCAGCUGCCUAUGACACUAAUGCUGUCACUGCCGAUGUUCUCAGCCAUCAACUAAGUGCCAGCUCAUUAAUUGCCUUCUCAAAUGAGCAAGCAUGGCUUUCAAAGCCUACAGGCUCUCUGGACAUCUCUUGUGGAUUGAUCACCAAAAGGCAACCCCAGCAACAUAACUGAGCAGAGAAACCGUUCUUCAGGACUUGCGGGUACCCAGACUUUCCAUGCUCCACUACCAUCAGCGAACACUGGAUGCCUGCUAGUAAAAUUUGUCUUUCAUUUCUUUCCUAUUUGACAUGGGUACUUGUAGGGAACGUUCCUGCGGUGCAACGACAGACCUCAACUGUGAUUCAAGGCAGAGCUGAUUUGACUUCCCACAAUGCUUUGCAUAUAUCGUGCCUUAAGUUUAGCAAGCAAUGGAAAAGAAGUCACAGCGUGGUGCUGGGUACAAAUGUCACAAAUUUAGGAAGGGUCUAACAUGUAUUCCCACCUAUUUCUGCAGCAGCAGCCUACCACUGAAUGCCUGUUGCAUUGUGGGAGAGUGCUAUAACACCACUGCUGUUUUUUCCACGAGACGACUGCCUUGCUCUUACUGAACAUGGCUUUGGAAGCAGGACAACGGUUAAAGACGAAAGAAUAUUCUGUAACAGCCAGAGAUCAUUUCUAUUAUACGUAGAUGGAGGUGUGCCCUCACGAGCAUAUGAGUAAAUAUGAGCAUAUGUAGGUAAGUACGUAAUGGCACACCUUUUUUAGCACAGAGA